rnacentral:rRNA from 1 species
UACAGAGGUGGCAAGCGUUGUUCGGAAUUACUGGGCGUAAAGGGCGCGUAGGCGGCCUUCUAAGUCGGACGUGAAAGCCCCAGGCUUAACCUGGGAACUGCGUCCGAUACUGGAAGGCUUGGAUUCGGGAGAGGGAUGUGGAAUUUCAGGUGUAGCGGUGAAAUGCGUAGAUAUCUGGAGGAACACCGGUGGCGAAGGCGGCAUCCUGGACCGAGAUCGACGCUGAGGCGCGAAAGCUAGGGGAGCAAACGGG